GUAACACGUGGGUAUCUUCCUCCAGGUUGGGAAUACCCUUCGAAAGGAGGGCUAAUUACCGAAUAAGCCCACGGCCCCCUUUGGGGGCUUGAGGGAAAAGGUGCUCUGCAUGCAAGCUACCACCAGGAGAUGAGCCCGCGGCCAUUCAUGCUAGUUGGCGAGGUAACGGGCCACAGCUACGACGGGUACUGGUCUGAGAGGACGAUCAGCCACACUGAACUGAACACGGUCCAACUCCUACGGGAGCAGCAGUGGGGAAUCUUGCGCAAUGGGCGAAACCCUGAUGCAGCGACGCCGCGUGAGCGAUGAAGCCCCUCGGGGUGUAAAGCUCUUUCGGCAGGGAA
rnacentral:rRNA from 1 species